rnacentral:lncRNA from 1 species
CAACUGUCAAGCAUUACUUAAUAAACUGAUAUGCUCAGAAGUUCAAACAUUUGUUUCCUCGGUCACCCUCCACAAUACCAGUGUUUAUUCCCUUCCCUUCACCGCCUUUCCUGUUGCUUCUGCUGCUGCUGUAUUCUGUGACUUGGCUCCUAAAGACCUACCCAUGGCCACACAAGAUUCCCCAGGGAAACAUAGACAUCCCACGUGAGCUCACGAUGGAUUAUUCUUCCAGAAGUGUAGGAAUCAGGGCCACACACAAACACCAGGGAAGACAGAAGAGGACAAAACUCGAGGCCAUCAAAGGAGAAGGAAAUACAAAAAGAGCCAUUGCACAGUGUCAAAGAAGCACAAAGCUACUUGCAUAGUGCCAAUCAAGCACGAGGUCAAAGAGACCAAACUAAUCCUACAUGUAUUGAUGACAUUCUGCACAAAGAGCACAAAGACUUGAUCAUGUGUGAGACUUGAGGUUGUGGCACUUUACAUAUGUUAAGAUGCAGAACUUCAUUGUAACACACUCUAUAUCAAAUGCCUAUACAUCAAUUGUUCUGGUUCCAGUAUCCCUGAGAAAAAUACGUAAAAUCAGACCAGGGAAUGACACUUCCCUAUCAGUUCUUUUUCUCUCUUAUAGUAUGGCAAAUUCUUGUAGUCUUGACUGAAAAUGGGUAAGUGAAAUAUUACUACAAUUUGUCCUACAGACAUGUGGGAUAAACAUUACUUUAAUUGGGCCCUGAUUCAAGGACCUGUUAUAGGUUUAUUUUCCUUUACUUAGAAAUUUUUACACAUAUGACUUUGAUAGUCUAUAUUUCAUCUACUAAUUAUUUCCUCUUUUAUUUGGAUUUUUUAAUGUUUUUUUAUUUCUUUUGCCAAUUGAUUCAUACACUUCAUAACACAGCCAUGCAUUCCUAAGUGAUCCCUGUGUUUUUCAACACCCUCUUCAGGAUGGAAUGUAUAAUUAUUUUAAAUUGCAAGGUUUAAAUUCUUUUUGAGAGUAAUUUUAGGUUAAGAAACUUGCUAUCUCUCUGAAUCCAGAAAGUGAAAUGUUUGGAGAAGGCAUUAUGAAGAUGCCUCCACAGACCACAUGCUGCACCAGAAGAUCCAGAGUGAACUUUGGGAUGUGGUGAUUUGAACUGUGUGGGGUUGAAUGCAUUUGUUUUGUAUGUAUACACUUAUGCCAAAGGGGACUGCCCCCUAACUGACUUUUUGUCAAUGUGCCUAGAAAUUAUUGGUUUUGUUCUCUUUUCCUCUUAUCCUCAAAUUAUUGUAAUUUCAAAGUUGGUAUGUUUAUAAGACCCAUCAGAGAGACUAGUCUUCCUCGGCUCUCAGGGGGAAUGUAUAACUGAAAAUCUGUUACCCUAAAAAAAAGAACUACAUAUCCCAAUAGCCCACUGACUUCCUGUCAUUAAGUACUUCCUGUAGACAGAGGAUAAAGGGAGUAGACAUUGAGGCUCCUCCACUCUUUUUGGCAUGAUGUAGCACCAGUGGUGAUGGUGGUAAGGUGGGGAGAUUUUUAAAAUGGCUAACCAUAUGGGCAUGUGGUUUUUAUUUUGUAUCCUCUUAAUUCCUUAAUUUCUAAUGAUCUUUAAUAAGCCUCAUAAAAUAUAAUAUUUUUAUUAUUAGAGAUUUUAAUUUUAAUUUUUAAAGUAGGGAGGGGAAAGUGGAUGAUAACUAUGAGAAAUAUCAAUUGCACUAAGAUAUUUAUAUAAACAAACACUUAAGGGAGGGAAAGAUUAUUUAUUAGUUGUGAUAUUAGAAGAUAAGGAUUCUAAGAGAAAAGUGUACAUUCUAGAUAUGGGGAGCCUCUUGUAGAAAGACUUGGAGGCAGGAGAAAGAAUGCUCAGUUUAUUGAAAAGUUAGUAGGUUAGUCUAGAAUUACUGAGCUCAGAAAGAUAAGCAGAUAACCCAUGUCACAAGUUCACACCAAUGUACCCUAAGUUCGGACCUGUGUUUUGUAUGUUCACGUAAAUUAUAUAUAUAUGGGGUUGACAUUUUAACACUGAUUUCAUACAUUGUGUCUUUGGAUUCAGCACUUCUGCACAAUGCUUGGUACAAGGAGUAAGUGUUUAAUAAAUAUUUUCUUAUUGAUCCUUUCA